GCUUGUCUCAAAGAUUAAGCCAUGCAUGUGUAAGUAUAAACGAUCUAUACUGUGAAACUGCGAAUGGCUCAUUAUAUCAGUUAUAGUUUAUUUGAUAAUACUUUACUACUUGGAUAACCGUAGUAAUUCUAGAGCUAAUACAUGCGUAAAAUCCUGACUUUCUUGGAAGGGAUGUAUAUAUUAGAAUGAAACCAAUGCGGGGCAACCCGGUAUAUGGUGAUUCAUAAUAACUUUCGGAUCGAUCUUCGGAUCGAUGCAUCAUUCAAGUUUCUGCCCUAUCAGCUUUGGAUGGUAGGGUAUUGGCCUACCAUGGCUUUAACGGGUAACGGAGAAUUAGGGUUCGAUUCCGGAGAGGGAGCCUGAGAAAUGGCUACCACAUCCAAGGAAGGCAGCAGG
rnacentral:rRNA from 1 species